UAGAGAGGACGACCUCCCAAGCUCGUCUAUAGAGAGGACGACCUC
rfam:Musca domestica strain aabys unplaced genomic scaffold Scaffold18664, whole genome shotgun sequence.